GACGAACGCUGGCGGCGUGCUUAAUACAUGCAAGUCAACUUGACUUUAGAUAGCAAUAUCGAAAAGUAGGGUGGCGCACGGGUGCGUAACGCGUAGGUAAUCUGCCCUGAGGUCUGACAUAACCCGUCGAAAGGCGGGCUAACAUCAGAUGAUAUAUAAUCACGACAUCGUGGAAAUAUCAAAUCUUCGGAGCCUUGGGAUGAGCCUGCGUCUGAUUAGGUAGUUGGCGGAGUAAUAGCCCACCAAGCCUACGAUCAGUAGCUGGUCUGAGAGGAUGAUCAGCCACACUGGAACUGAGACACGGUCCAGACUCCUACGGGAGGCAGCAGUAAGGAAUAUCGCUCAAUGGGGGAAACCCUGAAGCAGCAACGCCGCGUGAAGGAUGAAUACUUUGUAUGUAAACUUCUGUAAGAUGGGAAAAUAUUCUCCUCGG
rnacentral:rRNA from 1 species